rnacentral:rRNA from 1 species
UACGUAGGGCGCAAGCGUUAUCCGGAAUUAUUGGGCGUAAAGAGCUCGUAGGCGGUUUGUCGCGUCUGCCGUGAAAGUCCGGGGCUCAACUCCGGAUCUGCGGUGGGUACGGGCAGACUAGAGUGAUGUAGGGGAGACUGGAAUUCCUGGUGUAGCGGUGAAAUGCGCAGAUAUCAGGAGGAACACCGGUGGCGAAGGCGGGUCUCUGGGCCGAUACUGACGCUGAGACGCGAAAGCGUGGGGUAGCAAACAGG